rnacentral:sRNA from 1 species
GCCAGGCACGGUGGCGCAUGCCUGUCAUCCCAGCGGCUGGAGAGGCUGAGGCAGGAGGAUCGCGAGUUCAAAGCCAGCCUCAGCCAAAGGGAGGCCCUAAGCAACUCCGUGAGACCCUAUCUCUA